ensembl:lncRNA novel transcript, antisense to MMP16
CCUUUGACUUUCAGGAUAGCACAGAAGCAGAGACUUUAAGUCUAAACAGACCUAGAUUCAGAGCCGACCCGAUGCUGCUUGAAGAAGGCUGGAGGUAUGUUAAGGAGACAAGGGCUGUCAAGAAGCAGGGAUGUCUCUGGAAAGGUUCCCCUUGCUGCUGCCAUGUGAAGAAGGACAUGUUUGCUUCCCCUUCUGCCAUCAUUGUUAUUCAUGUUAGGCUCCUGAAAACACCACAAGGACCUACCCUCCGGGAGCCAGCCAGAGAACCCUUCUUCCUGCACUGUCUCCGUUAUGCCCAACAUUUCUGGGCAUAAGUUUUAAUAAACCUUACCUGGGAAAAGUUUGUUUGGCCUCGUGUUAAUUGCUAUUAUAUGGAGAGCCAAGAAUCUCGAACCAGUAAGAGUUGUGAAGUCACCCUCAAUAUUUCCCAAGUCUUCAAAGGAAUUGAGACACUAUAAUCAUUACCCAGGACUCCACGCUUGUCAAAUUUGUUGAUGACCUCCUACUUUGCAACCAAACUGAAUAGAAUGCUUGUAUAGACUCCCUAAUCCUUCUGAAGGUACUGACUGAGCAAGGCUACAAAGCCUCCAAAUCUAAAUGUCCAUGGGUACAGACAACUGACUUAUUUAGGCCAUAAAGCAUCUCGGAGCACUAAAAAACUCACAGUAAAAUAUCUUGAAGGAAUUUUGACAAUCUUUUCUUAAGAAGAAAGAAAAAAAACCAGAAAUUUUUAGAGGCAGCUGGUUAUUGCCAUCAAUGGAUUCUUAAUUUUGCCAUCCUAGCCAAGCCUUUAUAUGUUUUCCUCUCAGGUAUAACCUCAGAACCCCUUUUAUGGCCCUCUGAGACACUGGCCUCCUUUGAAGCAUUAAAAUAAGCAUUAUCUACACCCCCAGCUCUCAGUUUAUCCAAUUUUGACAAACCUUUUCAACAAUAUUGCCAUGAAAUUAAUGAGAUUGUUGCUAGUAUUCUAGAACAGCCGUUUGUCUCUCAAUUACUUUUUAUGGCAUAUUUCUUAUUUCGAUCAACCCUGUGACAUCAGGCAUGCCUCCAUGCCUGUGUGCGAAAGCCACAGCUGCCACCCUAAUGGAAAAAGCCUUUAUUCUUACAUUAGGCCUCCCUACUCACCUCUAUGUUACCCUUGAUGUGUCAGCGCUCUUACAAGCUCAUAAAACACAGCACCCUCUUUAUACAAUGGCAGACCACUGAUGAACAGGACCUAUUAACAAUUCUCUCUCUAUUGUAUCAUUGUAACACCCUGAACCGUGCUAUUCUAUUACUCCUCCUUGAUGAUGGACAGCCCAUUCUAUUCUACGUGAUUCCUUUGUAGCUAUAUAAAUGGUCUCAAAACUAUGAUUUUUUAGACAUCUUCUUAGACAGUCCAGACUUCUGUUUUGUCAUGGCUGUCAAGCAGAAUUCUCACCGAUACAUAGUAACUGACUGUGCCAUGGUUUCCUUAAAUGAAACACUUGAGACAAAUUCUGCCUUCUAUAUAAUCAGCCUGAACCACUGAGUCUAGAUCUUACACGAGCCUUGGCAAAGAGAAAACUGACACUAUUUACACUUGAGAUGUGCUUUGGACUCUGCCAUACUGUUGGCUGUAUUGAAAAGUCCCGUUUCUGACCUCUGCUGGUACCCCUAUUGCCAAUGGCCAUGUAAUUGUUAACCUAUUACGCCUAUUCAUCUUCUAAUUGAGGUUGCUUUUGUUUAUUGUUGGCACAUGCCAAGGAGACUGACACUGUAUCUCUGGUAGACAAUACGUCUGACAAAGCUGCCAAACAUGAACCCCCAACUCUGGCAAUAACCCAUUUUUUAACCCAGCUUACAACCCUGCCUUUAACACUUACUGACGUCAAUAAUAUUUGGCAGAUACCCUACAAUGAAAAAAAA